GUGGGGAAUCUUGCGCAAUGGGCGAAAGCCUGACGCAGCCAUGCCGCGUGAAUGAUGAAGGUCUUAGGAUUGUAAAAUUCUUUCACCGGGGACGAUAAUGACGGUACCCGGAGAAGAAGCUCCGGCUAACUUCGUGCCAGCAGCCGCGGUAAUACGAAGGGGGCUAGCGUUGCUCGGAAUUGCUGGGCGUAAAGGGCGCGUAGGCGGACAGCUUAGUCAGAGGUGAAAGCCCAGGGCUCAACCUUGGAAUUGCCUUUGAUACUGGCUGUCUUGAGUUUGGGAGAGGUGAGUGGAACUCCGAGUGUAGAGGUGAAAUUCGUAGAUAUUCGGAAGAACACCAGUGGCGAAGGCGACUCACUGGCCCAAUACUGACGCUGAGGCGCGAAAGCGUGGGGAGCAAACAGGAUUAGAAACCCGUGUAGUCC
rnacentral:rRNA from 1 species